CUAUCCUAUCCUGUCCACCAAACGGGCCCUAUAUGUGGUUAUCGUUGAAAAAUAUACAUUGGAAAUUUACAUAAUUGGUUAAUUAUCAUCAGGCUUCAACUUCACUACCAGGGGCGGACCCACAGCAGAGUGAGGGGUUCAGAUGAACCCCCUGAAAACAAAAAAUUCUACUUUACGCCCUUGUAUAGUUUUUUUUUGAACCCCCUGAGAAUUUUAAUUUGCACCCAUAGACCCCAGUUACUCCUCUCUCUCAUACAGACUCUCUCAGCCUCACGCCCUCACCCACUUUCUCUCGCACACUCACUACCCUAGGUCUGGUCAUCAAGCACACACGCACGACGCACUACCGGUCACCACCACGCCACGCCACCACCAGUCCAGCCGCCGACCGCGCCUCUGCGACUCUGCUUCUCUAUCUCCGUAUCUCUUAGCUCUGCUUCUCCUUUCUCUUCCACAAUCAGAGGGUUACUGGGUAAGUCCCACAUAAGGCAUAAGAGACUCAUGGGUCUGGACAAAGGAGGAAGCGGGAAUGUUUACAGUGAGCUCAGCUUACACAGUUUUACAAGGAGAUAUGAGGGAACCACCACAUAGACUUUAUCAUAAAUUAUGGUCACUCAAAUGUGCUACCGCUGGCUGGAAAAUUCUACUAGAUAGAGUUCAGUAGAUUGGUGCGUGUUUUCCUUCUGUUUUUGGCCUUGGGUCCCUUGCUUGGUGGUUUAAAAGGAGGGACAUGGUGGGAGGUCUUCUUCACUAGUUGCCUGUGAUUAUUUGCCCUGGCUAAUGGGUUAGAAUCUGAAUUGUUUUGUUCUGUUUUUCUAAAGGCCUAUACUCUGUUAGUGUAGGGCCUUAGAUUAUAUUCUCUUUUCAUUUUACAUUUGUACCAAGGGUUGGAAUGCCCAUUGUACUCUACUUUCUAUUAUUAAUAACACUUUGGUUUAUCAAAACAAAAUUGUUGUUGAAA